GUGCUUAUUUUAAAUUUUAAUACACGUAAACAUUCAAACACUCCAGAUAAAAUGAAAACCAGUCCUUCUGGGGUAAACACUGUACAACUUUUAUAGCGUUGACAGCCUCUGGCAAAGGAAUUCUUAAAACUGCUAUUGACACAAUCAUUAAGUACUGUGCUUGUAGCUCGUGACAGAAAGGACAGUAUCUUGGAAGACCACACACCCUGGCUUCUCCACGCUCUCGGCCCACUGAAGCCACGGUUAGCAGCUUCACACACAAGAGUCUCAUUUAGCGUCUGUAAAUCAAAGGAGCGGGCAUUUAUUUGUAUCCCCAUUUUACAGGCUGUGAGGCUGCAUUAGGGAGCUUAAGAGGCCAAGGAUACCUAGUUAUUAAGUGGCAGAACCAAUGUGCAAGCUAGAAAACUGGACAACCCCAAAGCAAGUUCUUAAGGACCAUCUAUUCACAGGUGAGUAACCCACAGGGCCUGCACCUAAGGAGUUUACUGCUUGGCAAACUCUGGUUAAGGUGACUGGCCCAGCUGGCUGGAAACACGGGGCUCUUCCAGUGUUGCCAAAUUAAACCAAGUCCAGCCUCUCAUUUCACCCUAAGGGAAUGCAUAAAGAAUCAUGAUUCCUCAUCACUGUCCCUCUGUGUCAAGUUACUCAAAAAAGGUGGACUUGCACAAAUGGGAAAACAGUAUAGAGCUGGUACAUAAGCAAUAGUGCAAGGAGGGUCCCUAAAGCUAUCCACAAUGAUGAUAUAAGAUUAUAUAUAUGUAAAAUUAUAUAUAUAUAUAUAUAUAUAUAUAUAUAUAUAUAUAUAUAUAAAUGAUAAGGUAUCCUCUAAUACAGGAGGAGAGCCCAGAAGACAGUGAGUAGCCAAAACUGUACCCUACAUAAAAAAUGCUUUUGACAACUGUCCACAAGUCCCCCUCCAGUUCCCUUCCUAUCUUUUUAAAGCCUCUGAUUCUGUGGGAUUGGAGGAAUGACUUUGAUUAGGUCCUAAUCUGCCCUUAAUAUCUCUCUUCAGCACUUUGUGGCUUGAAAUUGUCUGCAAAUGAACGAUCCUUUAAGGAAUAGAGCAUAUCUAGGGUUCUAUUGAGAGUGGAUUUUUAUCAGUCUUUAAAAUAAGACUGGGGAAUGUAGCUUAGUUGGUAGAGUUUUUGCCUAGCAUGCACAAAGUUCUAUCCUGUGCACCAAAAAAACUAGGUGGGGUGGCACACAGGCCUGUAAUCCCAUCACUUGAGAGGUAGAAACAACAGGAUCAAAAAUUCCAGCACAGCUGGAGAGAUGGCGCAGCAGUUGAGCACACCGACUGCUCUUCCACAGGACCCUGGUUCAAUUCCCAGCACCCACAUGGCAGCUCACAACUGUCUGUAACAGGGUACCUGAUAUUCUCAUGCAGGCAAAACACCAAUGCACAUAAAUUAAAAAAAAAAUUCAAAAUCAUUCUUGGCUAUACAGUAAGUUGGAAGCCAAUGUGGGAUGCAUGAGAUACUACCUCAAAAAAUAAGUUAAUUACAGUAAUCCAAUGCCCACUGUACACCUCCUUUUCUUAUAUUGGGACAAUAAUGUACAAUUUAUUUAUGAGAUGAUCUCAGGUAUCCAGGUUAGCCUUAAAUUUGCCGUGUAGCUGAGCUUGUGAUCAUCCUGCCUGUAGUUCUGAAGUGUUAGAUUACAGGUACCUGGGAUGGAACUCGGGGCUUUGUGCAUUCCAGGUAAGCACUGAGCCACGUCCUUAGCCCCCCCCCCCCCACACACUUCUGUCUCUCUUUUGGAGACAGGGUAGUGAUGAACUCUGGCAUUUCCUUCUCCCUCUGUCUCUCAAGUGCUGGGAUUCUCAUGAGCCCAGACCUGGUUUUAUACAUUUUGUUGAGGAACAUGACUCCUUAGUUCUUAGAACUGGUGCUCUGUAAUAGACCUUUUGGUUGGGCCAAAAUAAUAUAAUAGGGCCUUUUGGUUGGUUUUUUGGGGGUGGGGAGUUGUCUUGUUGACCAUCUGAGGCCUCUGGACUGAAAAAGUGCCUAUCAGACAGAAUAACUUAUGCUACAGUGAGAUGGCCCAGCAGGUAAAGGUGCCUGCUGUACAACACACACAUACUUUACAUAAACUGUAAUUAAUUAAAAAAAAUCUCAGUGUCUCAGGAUAAGAUGCUGCAUAGGUGUGGAACAUCACUAAUGUCUUUCUGCAGGACCCAGGUAACUGAAAGGGGAUCCCUCUAGAACAUUGUUGGUCAUUGGAAAAGGGAAGGGAGUCCUCUAGAGAGCCUCAUACCAACAAAUAACUCCGUCUGGAAGUAAUGCAGUCAUUCUUGCCAUUGGACAGAGCUCGUCACAUGGCCAUAGAGCAGCAGGAAGUGUGUUCUUCAAGGUCUGAAGGCAGGCACCAAGAACCCUUUGAACUAAACAAGCAACUUACCAGAAUGCUCUGCCCAAACCCUAAGCCCUAAACGAGUCAAUCCAUUCCAUCACCAGCUCCACCCUCAUUAUUUGGACCAGCUUUAGCCCAGUUCACUAUCUAGCCUUUGCUUGGGCAUUCUACCUCUUUUGGCAUAAGGCCCUCCAUAAGCCAUUAAGCCAAACACACAUCAUACACACCUGGAAUCCUUACUUCACAUGCUUCAGUAUGUGAUCCCUUAUGGUAGAUAGGAUGAAUUCUCUUUGCCAAAUUCUUGUCCACAUUUUCUUUAGGCACACUGAUGACACAUGUCUUGCCUCCCUUACAGAUAGAUGGAUGGUAGCCAUGUAUCUGGGGUUCCAUUUGGUAGAAUACAAUGGCACCAUUUUCUGGAAUGGCUCAUAAUACUCUCCUACCCAACUCCCCACCUACAUACCUUUUCUAAUAGUUUCCCCAGCUGGAUGCCAAAGUCCAAAGCAUUGGCAAACCAGCAUUAAAGAUGCCAGAGCCCCUAUCUACUUUGGUUCCUGAAAGACUGUAGAGCAGAGCUUGGCCUCCCUCUUCCCAGUGGACUCUUGUACCGGAGAAAUAAACCCUUUGGGUUUGAGCACACCAGAAUCCCAGCACUUGGCAGGUAGGGGAAGGAAAAGCAAGCUCAAGAGUUCAAGGUAAACUAUCAUUACCAAAAUAUACUCCCAGUUAACAAGAGAUUAAGGCGGCUGGAGAUGUGGCUUAGUUGUUGGAGUACCUUAAGAAACUUGUCUUGGGCUGGAGUGAUGGCUCAGAGGUUAAGAGCACCGACUGCUCUUCCAGAGGUCCUGAGUUCAAUUCCUAGCAACCACAUGGUGGCUGACAACCAUCUGUAAUGAGAUCUGGCACCCUCUUCCAUAUACAUAAUAAAUAAAUAAAUCUUAAAAAAAAAGAAAAACUUGUCUAAUAGUUGCAACACGGUGUUUAAAAUAGACAAAUAAGCAAAUACCCCUCACCAGUUACUAAACACCGUGAGGCGGUUUGAUGAUUUCUACAGUUGUACUAAACCUCACAGUCCUCUAGCUGGUGGGAACCAGUGUGUUGUGCUGUGUUCGUGGGCUUCGUGGGGCCAGCAGAGCCACACUGGACAGGACAUCUGAUGGUUUGCUUCUCUGUUUAGUCACUUCUUUCCUUGACAACCUAGAUGCAGAUGGCCAGCGUGCUGCCCAGAUGGCAGAACACUGGCAGCUUCCAGCACUCUGGUCAUCAGCAAUGUCUUGCCAUACCUCUGUUUCCCUGGUGCAUGGCCUCCAUCUUCCUGUCUGAGCACCAGUGUGCUUACACCUACAAGCCUUCCUACAGAAGCACCUUUGGGAAUGCAGAACUCAGUGUCUACUGGAUCAUAAUCAAAACCUCAUCAAAGGUUAGCCUGGGGAGGGGAGGGGAACUCCCCUGAGGCCUAGGAGGCCCGGGAUGGUAGAUGUACAAAAGAAAUUCCAGAAGAUGAGCUCUAAGAACUAGAGCACAUUGCAGAAGCAAGCUUUGAAAUAUUCUGCGUCUAUUUACUUCUUAUUGAUUUAUUUUGACUAUGGUACAACAUGCUUACUGCAACACAGUCAAACAAUGCCGCAGGAUGCCAAGUAAGAAUGCAUAAAUUCUGUUCUCAUCUGCAGUCUACUCUCACGCAAUACACGACUGUUGAUGGCUUCUGAGCCAUUUGGCUUAGAUCAAGUGUGUACUGUUGAUAGCUUGUAUGGAUCCCAAGAGUUAAAGAUAACUCAAAAUUUGCAACUCUGAAGGGCUGGGCAAACUGUAUUGUGCCAGUUAAUCACAGCACAGGCUUCAUGGCUUGUAGUUGGAGGCCACGAAAUGUUCAAAGCACCUUCUCUUCUCUUCCUUGUCUUGUCUUCUUCCUUCCCUUUCUCUUGCUGUGAUGAAACACUCUGAGGGGCCUGGUGCAAUUGCUUAGUGGUAAGGGAACCUGCUGCCAAGCCUGAGGACCUGAGUUUGAUCCCCAGUACCCACAAGCAGAGAGCAGACUCUUGUAAGAGUCUCUCACCUCACAUAUGUGCUGCGGCACACACACUGUGGCAUGUGCAUGCAUGCACACAAAAGAAAUAAAAUGUAACAAAAGACCCCGACAAAAGCAUCUUAAUGGAGAAAGGGUUAUCUUGGUCCACAGUUCCAAAACGCAGUCCAUCCUGGCAGGAGAGGCAGGGUGGCAGGAGAGGCAGGGUGGCAGGAGAGGCAGGGUGGCAGGUGAGGCAGGGUGGCAGGAGAGGCAGGGUGGCAGGAGAGGCAGGGUGGCAGGAGAGUGGGGCAGCUGGUCACGUGUGUGCACAGUCAGGAGUCGGAGAAGGAUGAAUGCUUGCACUCUGUUCACAUCAUCCUUGUUAUCCAGUUCAGGAUCCCGGCCCAGGUAAUGGUGCUCUCCACAGUGAGUCUUUUGAGCUCAGUCUAAUCGAGGUAAUCCCUCACAGGUGUUCCCACAGGCCCAUUUCCCCAGGUGAUUCUCGGGCUCACCAAGUUGACAACUGAGAUAACCAGCAUAUUUCAGCUUUGCGUCUUUUCCUCUUUCUUUUUUUCUGGGAGAAAGGCUGUCUAUGUAGCCCAGGGCCUCCAUAGUUCAAUCCCCCUGCUUCAGAUUCUAGGUGUGCACCCUUAUGGCCAGUGUUUUACUUGCUGCAUCCUCACAUUUAGUUCUAAAAGCACCGCUGUGACUACACUCAUGUUCACAAGUAUGUUUUCCAGGGGAAGAAAUGGGGUAGGAAGGGCUGAAUCAGCUGCCCAGGCCACACACCAAGUGAGUGGCGAACUCAGCUUUGAACCUAAGCAGGCUGGCUGCAGAGUUCUCACAGCAACAGCCCAGCUGUCCAGCCAUCUAUUUAGUAAACAGAGAGAGAGCUGUAGGGUGGGGGCACAUUCUGUAUGGUGGGCCACAGGAGCUCAGUGACAGGGUUACAGAAUUGGAGACAAUGACACUCAGAUAUUGAUCUAACUUCGGGAGCCUUAGCAAUCUCAAUUAUAAAAAUAUGCCCAGCUGCACAGAUGGUACUGGGUCCUGAUGCUAAUGAGUCAUGGUUCUAAUAGGUCGUGUGGAUGUCUACAAUUACCCCAUUACCUAAGAGUCAAUGGCUUCUACUUUUACCCCAUGGCACUGGGGUGCAAACGGCUGCUGCGACUCCUUUGUUACUUUGUUUUUUUCCUUCUGAGACUGUGUUUCUCUGUGCAACAGUUCUGGCUGUCCUGGAACCCAAUUUGUAGACCAGGCUGGCCUUGAACUCACUGAGAUCCACCUGCCUCUGCCUCCCAAGUGCUGGGAUUAAAGGCGUGCACCACCAUUUCCCUUUCUCCACUCUGUUAGCUGUAUUAGGGAAAAGUUCAUUUCCUAUAUGUUGAAGGUUAAUAUGAUCUUUGCUUUAGAAUUCCAGACAUUUAAGAAACCCCAAUAUUAUCCUGAGGUGUUCUGCUAACUUGCUCCAAUGUAAUGAUUUUAUACUUAGAACUGUCUCAGCCCGAUUUUGACUGUACUAUUAAUCUACUGGUAACUCUGGUGUUCUACCACUAGGAGGUGCUGUUUCAUUGAUUUCCCCCCCCCUUUUUUUUUCUUUUUCAAAUUAAGUACCUCACCUAGUCCCUUCCAUGGGAAUAUCUGAUAGUGAAAACCUUGACUUUUCACAUACCGCUGUUAAAAUGUAUCCAAUUACUGGAGACAAAAAGAAACAAACAAACAGGUUAGUAUUUUAACAAUACUUUUAUUCAAGGGGCUUAAAGGUCCAGAUACUUCAACAUUAAUUAGAAGCUAAGCUUCAUUGAUUAACACAGAAAAAGAAAAGAAAAUCCUGAGUCUUGAGGCAGAGUAGAAGAAAAUUCAGUCACCUGGCUUGCCAAUUAUAGUUCAAAAAUAGAAACAUUGCUGUUGUGGUUUAAUUUUUUUGAUUGAUUUUCUUUGAUGAGAUUAAGUUUUCACCCAUCUUGUAGGAAUGUUUCAGCAGGCCACAAUAAAUAAUUAUUUCACUGGGUAAAUUCAUCACACAGGGUUUUCCUGUUUAUUCUGUCUUGUUUCUGUGUAUGUCUGAGCUAGAGUGAACAAAUCCGAUUUUACAUCUGUGUCCAUAGCCUAAGAGUUCGGAAAUCAAUAUAAAUACAACAGAAGGUUUAUAGGGAAAUGGAAAAGGAAACAAGGACUGCUUGGCCAUGAUCCUGGAUCUCCAGGUUUGGGAUAAAUUAGAGAGAGAAACUUCUACUUAUUUUCAUUGUUUAAUAAGCAAACUAAAGGUACACCAAAGAAUACUUUUCUAUUUGGUUAUAAAGCAAGAGAAUAUGGAUUGAAACUUAAGAUGGCAGUUAUUCUUUGUUGUUGGUGUUUUUUACUCUUUUGCUCUUUGCUCUUUUGGGGCCUGCCAUUCAGCUACCAAAUAAAUACACACACGGAGUCUCAUUUCUUCUUAUGAAUGCCCAGCCUUUGCUUGGCUUGUUUCUAGCCAGCUUUUCUUAACUUAAAUUAUUCCAUUUAUCUUUUGCCUCUGGGCUUUUACCUUUCUCUAUUUCUGAAUAUCUUUUCUUUCCUUUUUACUCCAUGUCUGGCUGGGUGGCUGGGUGGCUGGGUGGCUGGCCGGCCCCUGAUAUCCCCCCCCUCCUUGUUAUCUUGUUCCUCCUUCUCUCUUGCUUACUUUUUCUCCUUCUAUUUCUUCUCUCUGCCUGCCAGCCCCACCUGUCCUUUCUCCUGCCUCACUAUUGGCCAUUCAGCUCUUUAUUAGAUCAUCAGGUGUUUUAGACAGCGAAGUAACACAGCUUCACAGAGUUAAACAAAUGCAACAUAAAAGAACACAACACAUCUUUGCAUCAUUAAAUAAAUGUCCCACAGCAUAAACAAAUCUUAAAAUAAUAUUCUACAAAAAAAUCUUAACUUUUUGUUUGUUUAUUCUGAGAUGAGGUCUCUCUAUAUAGUUUGGGGUGGCCUUGAACUCCCAGAGAUCCACCUACUUCAGCCUCCUGAGCACUGGGGUUAAAGCCAUAUGCCACCAUAUGGAAUCUAAAUUUUGUUUAAAUGGCCUUUCCUACCAGCACCAAGACUCUCAUUUUAGCAAGUAACUGGGAUAAAAUGUGUCUGCACCAAAGGGUCAGGAAUCUUGGAUUAUUUUAGGCUUCUGUCUAUCUACCAAAAUGAUUUUUCAAAAUCUCUUUCUAGUGAGAUGACCCAGUGAACAAAGUUUGCACAUCUUCAGAGCUGAGUCACCCUGGGCCCCAGACUUCACUCUGGAGCCUUGGACUGAGCUACCCCCCCCCCCCCCCAAUCUGGGAGCAAGGCCACAUUUUAUUGUUUUGCCCAACAGUUCCUCACAAAGUAGAGCAGCUGCAUCGCUGUAUCAGAUGAGGAUCCACUCUUCGAAUCCCUGUGACAGGUGAAAGGACAUCUGGCAUCUCUUGAAGAUCAGACUUGUAAGACGUUAGCAUCCUCCGAGCGCUCCUUCACCUGCCUUCGGUGAUCAAGCCUAACAGAGUGGACAUCUGGGGCAUGUGCAGCGCACCCUCCACUCGGGCUGCGAUGGGCAGACAGACCGGGAAGGGCCCAUCUCUGACUGCAGCAUUUGGGUGGAAGGAAACGGGGGGGGGGGUUUCUCAUCGUCCCCCCCCCACACACUUCAAGAGAUAUCAUUAAAAACACUCUUUUGUCCAUUAGAGAAACAGCUUAGAUCUUAUAAACCACAAGAAUCUUGUCCUCUUUACCAUUUAGCCUUCAAGGCCUUACCUUUUGUGACUGGAAGGCAUAUCCAGUUCUACACACACACACACACACACACACACACACACACACACACACACACACACGGUUCUUUGAUUAGCUUGAGGCAGUACAGUUAUCACAGAACAGCUUUCCCUUUCUCUGAAGCUCUCAGCACCUACCAAUCCCUGAUCCAGAGGCAGAAGCCAGAGGGAAGGGGUAGGCUUUAGCCUCGGAAGUGCUGUUAUUUCAAUGUAUACGAAACUGUAGACAAUAACCUGGAGCCGGCCUCUUCAUUAUCGGAUGCAGACUUAACAGCAACACACACACCCUACUUAUCGGCUAACACUGACAUGAGAUUUAUGAUCCUGAUAACAUGAGGUUUCCUGUCCAUGGCCCAUUACAUCCAUUUUCUGGGUGAAACUUAAAGAGGAAAACCAACUAAAUAAGAUAUAGUGGAUUAACAUCAAACAGGCCACAACUAACCACUCAGAAUACUUAAGCUUCCUUUCCAUAGUUAUUUAAUUUGUUAGCAGCUUUAUGGAUAAAGCUCAUGGACCACACAGUGCCCCCUUCAGAGGUACAGUUUGGAGGUGGGGGUGUAGCUCAGUGGUAGACCACUUGCUUAGCAUGUCCAAGGCCCUGGGUUCAAUCCCCAAAACCCAAAUGGAAUGAAAUAAAAAUGCAUAUAAUUGUAAAUAUAUUCAACUAAAUAUAACACAAAUAACUAUUUAUUAUAUACCUUUUAAAUUACCUGUUCAAUUAUAAACAUACUUAUAAAGUAUAUAUAUAUAUAAUUCAUGGGUUAUUUUAUUAACAGAUAUGCUCAAUUCUUUGUAAAUAAAUUAGCUACAGGCAAGUUCAACACAUUUUGAUCAUAUCAAAAAGAAAUCCCAUUCUUUCAAAAAAUUAUUUUUAUUUAUGUGCAUAUGUGUGUGGGCCUCCUUAUCUGUAUGCACAGUGUGUGAGGAAGUGAGGUGUGAGUGUCAAAGCCCCUGCCACUUUGUUGUGAGCUGCCCAGUGUGGGUAUCGGCACCUGAACCUGGCUCCUCUGGGCAAGCAGCAAGUGCUGGGAACUGCUGAGCUGUCCCUCCAGCCCUGUUCUUUGAGCUACCACCCUCACUCCCCUUUCUACCCAAGCAACCCAGAAUCUUACUUUGUGUCUUUAUAACUGGCAUAUUCUGGACAUUUUAUAAAAGCAGAAGUAUACAUUUCUGGGUGACUGCCCUUUUUUCACUUAGUAUAAUAUUUUCCUUUUCUUCAGAGCUGGCUGUUAAACCCAGGGUCUUGUGCAUUCUAGGCAAGCACUCGGCCACUAAGCCACACACUCAACUCCUAGGGUAAUGUUUUUAAGGUCUAUCCAUGUCAAAGUGUAUGUCACCAAUUUCAUUUUUAAAAGUUGUUGAAUAGCAUUUCAUUUUAUGGAUAAAUCAUGCUUUAUUCAUUUAUCAGCUGAUGGAUGUUUGGAAAAAUCCCACAUUUCCACUAUUAUUCAUAAUACUAGUAUAAGCAUUUUUGUGACUCUUUGGGGGUGGACAUACUUUGAAUUCUAUUCGACAUAAGAAUAUUUCAUUUUUGAGAAAAUCCUUUGCUAUAUCACCCUGACUGGCUUAGAACCUGCUAUGCAGCCCAAGCUGGCCUUGAACUUGUGAUCUUCCUGCCCCUACCUCCAGAGUACUGAGCUUACGGGCGUGUACCACCAUGCUAUUUUCUAUUGGAAAUAUAUGUAUGAAUGUAAUUGCUUUGGAAAAUGGUAAUUUCUCCUAUUUUAAAAGAAUAGGAACAUGUGUAUAUGAGAUAUGUAUUAUAUAUUAGAAUUCAUUAUGGUUGGUUGUCCAGGAUAUGCUAUAGUAACAAAACUCUUCAGAUUUUUGUGGACUCAACAGCACAGGUAGAUUCCUCAGUCAAAGCACCUGUCCCUUUAGCAUCCUUUAGUCCAGCCGUCACACUCACAGGACAGGAGGCUGACGGAAGUCCUUCUGUAUUUCAGGGGGAAAGAAUGAAGCAGGUUGGAUACUAGUUCCUAACACUUGCAGUCUGAAGGGCACCAGGGACUUCUUUCCAUACAUCACUAGUCAAAGCAGUCACCCAGUCACACUCAAUUCCAAGGGCAGAAAGUGGAAAGCCAGACGUGGUGGAGAAGUAUCAACACCUUAAAUAGAUCUAUAUGUGUAUAUACAUAUGUAUAUGUAUAUGUAUAUAUGUCUAUCCACACAUACACAAUGACUUCAACUGUGGCCAAGGGAAGAGGGCCAACUCCAGCUUAUCAUUGCAAGGUUACUACUCCAGUACAUUUGGAAUCCAUGGAAACAAUGACGGAGAAUACUCAUGGAAUAUGCUGAACUCACUAAGAAGGGAAGGGCCGAUCUUCACGUUUAGAUGUGUCCUCACGAAAUAGUUAACUUAAAAAAGAACCAAGUGGGCCUGGAGAGAUGGCUCAGAGGCCAAGAGCACGUACUGCUCUUCCAGAGGAGUGGAGUUCAGUUCUCAGCACCCACUUCGGGGAGCCAGAAGCUUCCUGUAACUCCAGCUCCAGGAGAUCCAAUACCUUCUGUCCCUUCUGAGCACCCACACAGGCGGCAUCAACACAAACACAAAGCAAAAAAUUUUUUUUUUUUUUUGGUUUUUCAAGACUGGAUUCUCUGUGUAGCCCUGGCUGUCCUGGAACUCACUCUGUAGACCAGGCUGGCCUCAAACUCACAGAGCUCUGCCUGCCUCUGCCUCCCAAGUGCUGGAAUUAAAGGUGUGUGCCACCAUGCUCAGCUCACAAAAAUACUUUUAGAAGGUUAAAAGGAGGCCAUGCAAUGAGGGAAUGGAUUAAUCUGUGAUAGUUAAUUUCGUUGUCCGCUUGCUAGGCUCUAGAAUCACCCAGGGGACAAGCCUUUGGCGUGUCUGCAAGGGACUGUGUAGAUUAGGUUAACUGAGAUGAGCCUGCCUUAACUCUGGGCACCGCCAUUUUGUGGAGUAGAGUCCUGGACUGAAUAAAAAGAGGUGAUCUGGCCAGGCGGUGGUGGUGCACGCCUUUAAUCCCAGCACUCGGGAGGCAGAGGCAGGCGGAUCUCUGUGAGUUCGAGGCCAGCCUGGGCUACCAAGUGAGUCCCAGGAAAGGCGCAAAGCUAUACAGAGAAACCCUGUCUCGAAAAACCAAAAAAAAAAAAAAAAAAAAAAAAGAAAAAAAGAGGUGAUCUGAACAUCAUCAUUUAUCGCCCCCUGCUUCCUGACUGCAAAUGCAAUGUGACCAGCAACCUCAUGCCCUCGCCACUGUGACUUCCGUGCCGUGAAGGACGAUCUCCUGUGAACUAUCUGUGAGCUCAAACAAACCCUCUCUCCCUUAGGUUGCCUUUGUGUGUAUUUGAUCACAACUGCAGGAAAGUGACCAUAGACCCCAAUCUGCUCCCUUACAUCACAGCCUUCUGCUUCACCUCAGGCCAGAAACAUGGGGUCAACCAGCCAUGGACUGAACCAGGAGCCCAAAUCACUCUUUGCUAUGAGCCAGUUCUCUUGGGGCUUGUCACAGUGAGGAGAAGCUGACUGUCACAGAUGUUUGUGUGUGUGUGUGUUUGGAUUUGUUUCUUAGGACUGCUGUGUCAAAUUCCACAAACCUGGGAACACACAGAUUUAUUCUGUCAUGGAUUCCACAAACCUGGGAACACACAGAUUUAUUCUGUCAUGGUUCUGGAGGCCAGAAAUCUGAAGUCUGGCAGGACUCUCUCCAAAGGCUCCAGGAAGAUGGAAUGGGCAAUGGUCAGAAGCGGUUCUGUUGAGGAGUGGAGUAGGAAUGUCUGGGUCUCUCUCCCAACACUGGAAGCACUUCCCAAAACCGGAAGCACUUCAGACCUCACCUCUCCUCGAGGCCAAACAGACUUCAGGGAAACUCUACUGACAACUGAAAAGGAUGAGGUGUGAACGACGACGUAAUGGAAAGAUGGAGCUCGUCCUUGGGGCUCCCAGAAAGACCAAGGGUUCCAAAGACACCUCUUAGUACAAUUCAGAAUUCUGCUACUGAGGGCUGAGGAGAUGGCUUAGUUGGAAAGAGCUUGCCUUGCAAACACAAGGACUUGAGUUCGAUCCCCAGACCCCAUGUAAAAACCUAAACAACCUGGGUAUGCAGUGUUCCUGUUCUACUGUCUGCCCCUCCCCUUCGGGCUAGGUUUACAGGCAUUGUUCUGUACUCAGCUUCUACAUGGGUGCUCGGGAUCUGAACUCAGGUCCUCAGGCUUGUGCGGCAAGUGUUCUUUACCCACCGAGCAUCUCGCCAGCUCCUAUGUCUGUCUUUUGUAAAGACAUUCUCCUAGCAAUAUGAACCUGUCUGGAAAACCGAGCAUAAUCGCUUCAUCUCAACAUCGUUGAAUGUAUCUGCCAAGACCUUUGCUUAAAUGAGGACAUGUUCACAGACUCCAGAGAUAAGGAUAGGGACACAUAUGCAUGAGGUAUCAUUUAAUCCACUGUGGUUAUAUAAGGACAGUGUAAAAAAAAAAAAAAAGGUAGCCUGUUGGUGGUGGUACAUUCCUUUAAUCCCAGCACUCAGAAGGCAGAAGCAAGUGGGUCUCUGUGAGUCCGAGACCAGCCUGGUCUUCAGUGAAUUCAAGGACAGCCAGGGCUACAUAGAGAAACCCUGUCUUGAAAAACAAAACAAAACAGAAAUGAAAAAAGAAGUCAUUAACAACAGUGAUUACUUUUGGGGGAAUUGUAAAUUUGCUAUAGCGAACCCAUAUUACAUUUAUAAUCAGAUAAAACAGAGCUGGGCGUGGUGGCACGUGCCUGUGAGUCUAGCAUUCAGGAGGCAGAGGCGGGAAGGUCUUAUGUGUCAGACAGCCCAGGCUGUAGACCCCAUUUGAAAAAACCCCUCCCAACAACAAAUCAGAAACCACAGAACAAUAACAGCAAAGCAAGAAUGAAAACUGACACUAAACAAAAGCAAAACACGAGCGUGCCCCAUCUUCUACCAACCCGCCAAGCCUGACUGUGCACACCAGGAAGUAGUGAGGGGACUUUGGAGGAGCUUAGUUGGUAAAGUGUCGGCCACAUAAACGUGAAGGUUUGAGUUCAGAUCUCCGGCACACCUGAAAUCUCAAUACUGGGAAGACAGAGACAGGGUCCCUGGGGAUUGCUGGCCAUCCAUUCUAGCAAAAUUAGUGAGCUCCUGGUCCAGUGAGAGACCUUGCCUCAAAAAAUAAAGUGUGUGUGUGGAGGGGUGUGUUACUUUUGUUUAUAUUGCAUUUGUUUAACUCUGUGAAGCUGUGAUACUUUGCCUGUCUAAAACAUCUGAUGGUCUAAUGAAGAGGUGAACGGCCAAUAGUGAGGCAGGAGAGAGACAUAGAUGGGGCUGGCAGGCAGAGAGGAUAUAUAGAAGGAGAAAUCUGGGAGGAAAAAGAAGUAGCUAGAGGAGGAGGAGGACUCCAGGGGCCAGCCACCCAGCUACACAGCAAGCCACGGAGUAGGAGUAAGAUUUACAGAAGUUAGAGAAUGGGAAAAGCCCAGAGGAAAAAGAUAGAGGGGAUAAUUUAAAGUUAAGAAAAGCUGGCAAGAAUCAAGCCAAGCUAAAGUCAGGCAUUUAUAAUUAAGAAUAAGCCCCCAUGUGUGCAUUUAUUUGGGAGCUGAGUGAUGGGCCCCCCAAAAGAGCAAAACCAAACACCAACAAGGGUGGGCCAGAGAGAUGGCUCAGCAGUUAAGAGCACUUGAUGCUCUUGCAGAGGACCUGGGGGUUCCCAACGCCCACCUAGUGGCCCACAAUCAACGUGCCUCCCGUUCCAGGAAAUCUGAUGCCUUCUUCUGACCUCCUCAGGCACCAGGCAUGUACAUCGUACACAUACAUACAUGCAGGCAAAAUACUCAUACUCAUAAAAAUAAAUAAUCUAAAAAUGAUUUUAAAAACUAAGGUGGAGAGAGACUGAAGAAGACACUCAACUUUAACCCCUAGCCUCCAUACAUUUGAAGUUAUGUCCUCAAAGUCAGUUGGGUGCCAGAAGGGGAUCACUUCUUCAGAGCCGAAUGCCCUUUGUCAGCCUCAGACAAUGCUGUUAUUGUCAGCCACAGACACAUGAAGCUUCUCUAUGCAAAGAAGAGCCUUGUCCUGGGAUGAGUGCCCAGGAUGAGCCACCCACCUCCCCAGAAGUGAAGAAACACUUCUCUGGGGUUGACUUGUCGAAAUAAAAAUACUUUUCUUUCCCAACCAGGAACCUCCCUGAGCAUGGGUGAUGUGUCUUGUUUCAUCAGCAUUGUGUUGAAAAAUUUUUGCAAUUAGUCCCUAACACUUUUUACUUACAAAUUUGGGUUUUGGCUUUCACCUGAUUGGUACAUUAGGCCUGUUGUGUCCUGUGGCAGCCAUCUACUAGACCGGAGGGUGGCAGUCCCUUUGAAAGGGCUGCAUGCAGCACAGUGUCUGUGGUUUUCCUUUCCCAUGCCACCCCACGCUUCUGCCUUUGCACUGCACCUUGGCCCCUGACGGCCUUUGAGCAGACUUCGCACACCCGCAUGAAGAAAACGAAGAUUGCUUCUUUGCAUUAGAGUACGGCAUUUUGUGGGUUAAAUGGGCUCCUGUUCGGAGACCUAAAUACUCUCAGUUCCAGGGAAAAACACAUUCACAGUUUCAAAUAGCUCACAAACGAACCUGAAGCCUGCAACCCGUUCAUAAAUCGGUGGCUCCUCUAACAGUAAUGUUUUACAGUCUACCUAAACAAGUAAUGGAAAACUCAUAUCCACGUAUGCACUUAGAGCAGGAAUUCAAUUCCACGGACUAGUGGGGAGAGACGUUACAAAAUCCCGCCAGGGCUUAUUAAGUUGUCUCUGUCUGUGUGCAGGGAUGUGUGUGUGUGUCCUUGUGGGGCUGUGGACAUGCUUCUACUUCAUUAGGGCUGGAAACUGUCAUAGUCCCAGUGGUAGGGAUUCAUGUCAUGAGCCAAAGUUACCCUCAACCUUAUUGAGUUAGAAGCUGGCGACUUUGCAAAAUUUCCUUGCUGGGGUGACCUGUGGCAGGUGUUUCUAGUGAAGCUCUUGAAUUUUUAAUCUGAGUUGAGUGGUGGAGGUCAGAGGUCACAGAACACUUGCUUGCCUUGGGUUUAGAGAAAGCUGUCUGAACUGAGUCUGGAGGCUUUUCAGAAGUCAGCGAAGAAUGUUUUUGGCUUGGCCUAGCCUGGUGGUACAUUCCUCUAAACCCAGCUCUUGAGAGGCGGAGACAGGAGGACAAGAAUUGGCUACAUAGUAACUUCAAGACCUGGGGUUAAGAGACUGUCUUUAAAAACAAAAUAUGCAUGGGCCAGAGAUACAGUUUAGCAGGUAAAAUCUGUCGUGAACAAGUUUGGCCAUCCAAGUUCAAUUCCCUGGGAACCAUGUGGUGAAGGAGAGAACAGACCCUGCAAGUUGUCCUCUGACCUCUACAUAUGUGCCGUGGUGUACUCUGUACCCCCAAAAUAAAUGUAUAAAACAUUUUAAAACUAUGUUAUUUUUUUUCUCCAGACUUUCCCCUAACUGGAAAACUGUUGAGGACUCUAGGCUAGGACACACUCAAUUAUCAAGUGGGAUAGGGGAAUGGAUCCAUCAGUUAAGUGCUUGCCAUGUGUGGUAGUUUGAAGUAAUUGGCCCCCAUAAACUCAUAGGGAGUGGCACUACUAGGAGGUGUGGCUUUGUUGGAGUAGGUAUGGCUUUGUUGGAGGAAGUGUGUCACUGUUGGGGCGGGCUUUGAGGUUUCCUAUGAUCAAGAUACUGUCCAGUGACUGAGACCAUUUCCUGUUGUCUUUUGAUCAAGAUGUAGCCAGCACCAUGUCUGCCUGCACGCUGCCAUGCUCCCCGCCAUGAUGAUAAUGGACUGAACUUCUGAUUUGCAAGUGAGCCACCCUAAUUAAAUGUUUUCCUUUAUAAGAGUUGCCACGGUCAUGGUGUCUCUUCACAGCAAUAGAAACUCUAAGACACCAUGCAUUUUUAAGGAUCUGAGUUAGGAUCCCAGGAACACAAAUAAAAGCCAAGCAUGGUGGCACAUACCUGUCACCCCAGCACUGGUUCAGGACAUGGUGACAAGUAGAUCCCAAGGUCUUACUGUCCAGCCAGUCUCUGAAACAGCAAGUUUCCAAUGCAAUGAGAGACCCUGUCUCAAAGAAUAUGGUGGAGAGCAAUAGGAGGAAGAUUCUUGAAAUUGACCUCUAGUCUCCUCAGGCAUACAUACGUGCCCACAUACAUGCAUAGCUGCACAUAUGCCUGCACAUGAAAGAGCUUUCAGCUUAAUGAGUACAUGGACGCCCAGAGAAGAGAUGUUCAGCAGUGGCGUCAUGUUAUGUAAGGUAGACAAGGGGUUGCAUGUCGGGAGAAGUAACUCCCUGUCUAUGGCAGGGCCUCUAAGUCCGUCUGUAUACUUACAUGAGAAACAGCAUUUUAGGUGCCUGGUGGCUGAGCAGUAGAGGUCAUGGCUGACAUGAGUCUAGGCGGAGUAGAGAAGAAACACUAGCAGUCACACGGCAGUCGAACUCUGGAACAUGGCUUGGGCUGUGACAGAAGGCAGGUCAGGAAGUUCAAGGCAGGACUGGGAGUCUCUGCUGUCAGGACACCAAGUCUGGGGUUUGUCCUGGGCAGUGGAGAACCCUAGAAAGUAUACUUCAACAUUUAUCUGGAGGAAAAGAAAGAUUUACAUUGGCUUACAGUUUGGGGGCUAUCAAUCACAUCAUGGCAGCCAGGAAGCAAAGAAAAGGGGACUAUGGGAAGGGGCCAAGGCAAGAGCUAGACCCUGAAGGACACACCCCCGGUCCUUUCUCCAAGCAGGCCUGACUUCUGACUGUCCUUCCUCUUUCGAUAGUGCCACUGUGUUAUGAACCCAUCAAGGUACUAAUGCAUUGGUUAGGUCAGAGUCCUCAGGAGCCUAAGCUUCUCCAAAGCUCACCAGUUGUUAUUAAAGCUAGACAAUAUCUGAACGUAUUGAGGAAAUUCCUUGUUUGAACCAUAACGUUCUUCCUUUGGUCCCCAGAAGACUCAUAGCCAAAUCACCUGCACUGUCUUAACAAUCCCAGCAUGACUCAAAGCCCAGACUCUCCCCUAAGACACCAGGUGUCCUGGUUGUUUUUGUUUUUGUUUUGUCUUGCCAAAUUGACACAAACCAGUUAUCUGAGAAGAGGGAGCAACAAUUGAGAAAAAUACCCGUGUGGGCAACCCUGUAGGGCAUUUUCUUAGUUAGUGAUUGAUGCACGAGGGCCCAGUCCAUUGUGGGUAGUGCUAUCCCUGAGCAGGUGGUCCUGGUUGGCAUAAGAAAGCAACAGCUGGGCAUGGUGGCACAGGCCUUUAAUCCCAGCACUUAGGAGGCAGAGGUAGGCAGAGCUACAGAGUGAGUUCCAGGACAGUCAAGUUUACAGAUUACCUAGAGAAAUCAUGUCUCCAGGAGAGAAAACAAAAACAAAAACAAAAAAAGACAAGAUGAGCAAGUCAUGCAGAGUAAGCCAACAAGAAACACUCCUCCAUGGCCUCUGCAUCCGUUCCUGCCUCCAGGUUCCUGUCUUGAGUUCCUGGCCUGGCUUCUCUGGAUGAUGAACUGUAGGAUGUCAGAUAAAAUAACCUCUUUUCUCCCCAAGUUGCUUUUGGUUAUGGUGUUUUGUCACAGCAAUAGAAACUCUAAGACACCAGCCAAACUCUCAAAGUCCUGUAAAAUUAAAAAAACAAAAAACAAAAAACAAAAAAACCCCAAACAAGUUGCUGGGGAUGUAGUUCAACUGGUAGAGUGCUUGUCUACCAUAUACAAAGCCCUGAACACAGUGGGGAAUGGCUCUGCAUUUGGAGCCACACAUUUGGACAGUGGUAGUACCAAUGGCCAAAAUAGUCAAGGUAAGAAGAGAAGAUUGGUUUGAGUCCUACUCUGAGGCCCUCAGGGGCCCCUGGUUCUCACUAUUCAUCUCUUAUUCAGACCCUGAGGACCUGGUGCCAGUAGGUGAAAGGACCGAAGAAGAUGGUAAAACUCCUCGGCAGAUUUCCAGUUCUCCCAUACCUCCUCCAACCGCAAGUCACUGGUCUCGGGGACCCAAGACCACCCACCUCACACCCUAGCCUAGGUGUUUUGAGCCUUGAUGAUUUGAAAGAUGCAGAGAGGUUAUUCUAGCCCUUGUUUCCACCCUUGGGCUGACUCAAAAGUCCAAUCUACUUUUUAAAAAGUUUUUAUGUUUACUUAUUUUGGGGUGUGGAACACAUACAUACACGUGUAGCUAUCAGGGGACAAUUUUUUGAGAGUUGGAUCCCUCCUUCCACCACGUGGGUUCUGGUGAUUGAACUCAGGUCCUCAGUCUUGGCUGCAGGUACCCUUAUCCACUGAGGCAGCUCAGUGGAUCCUCAACCUGUUCUGGCUCCUGCAUCCCGUAUUUACGCCCUCCACUUCACAAAGUCCCUCUGUAGGCUUGGUUUACAGUGCUCUGUGGACCUUUGGCCUCCACAGUGGAGUACCUCUUUUCCAUGGGACCCCUUAGCAAGUCGGAGCUCAUGGGCAUGUGAUGUGAUUAACAGUCUUGAGGGAAGCACUGGCGCUGAAAUUAUUCUGUUUCUGUUGAGUACACAUUAAUUAUUGCAAUUCUUUCACUAGAAUGAAGGGAAAGGAAAUUGGUGCCCCAGGCAACCAGGAUUGUGGAUAAGACCAUCCUAUGAAGAUCCUCUUAAAAAAAUUUUGUUUUGUUUUGUUUUUUGACACAGGGUUUCUCUGUGUAGCCCUGGCUGUUCUGGAACUUGCUCUGUAGACCAGGCUGGAAAACAAUUAAAAAAUUUCUUUUAGAUUUUUUUUUAUUACUUUAUGUGUAUGAGUAGUUUGCUUAUAUGUAGGUCUUUUGCCACAUGUGUGCCUGGUGCCCAAGGAGGUGGUGAGCUUCUAAGUGGGUGCUGGGAAUCGAACCUGAGACCUUUGAAACAACACGUACUCUUAACCUCUGAGCGAACUAUCCAACCCCAUGAAUUUGAGUUGAAUGCAUAAGCUCACCCAGUCAAAAGCAGACACCGAGUGUGGCUUGAACCCACAACACUGGGAUUAAGAGUCCCAUGUUUUACAGACUGAGCUAGCCAGGCAGCUGAACACCUUUAGGUCCAAUGAAGGGCAGCCAGUUUGACAGGGUUCCUGGGAAACAGUUCUGGCUCCAUUUUAUUAAACUUACUCUUUUGUCCUCUUCAAUUUUCCCUCAUGGCGCUCUGAGCCCCUUUCCUCUGCCCUUUAUCUGCCCUUCACUUCAAUCCACAUCUCCUUUCUUAGCCCCACAUCCAGACUGCAUUUGAUAUUCAUUGCAAAAGAAUUAGCCCGCUCAAUUUGCAGUAUCCAGCCGAACCUGGUGACCAGUGCAAAUGCAGGAAUAUGUAGCUGGACUCUUUUCCAGGUAACAUCUAAGAUGCCAGUCUUAGCAGCCUCAUUUUAAAAAACUAUUUAUAUUCACAAAAGUCCAUAAUAGCAUUUUUAUUGUGUAUGCCUGGGAUUUGGGUGCAUCACCCCUCCCCCGUGCCUGUUUCUUGUUAUUGUUCAACACUGACUGCAGCCUUAAAUGAUAAUGAAAACAGACGCACUCUUGAAAGCGAGGGCUGUUUCUGCCUUUAGUGUAUGUGGGCUCUUCUGCCUGAAGGGGGUGGUUGAGUGUUUAAGCGGUGGCUCUCCCCGCUCUUAGAACCCAAGUUCACAUCCACGCAAGCAUUACGUGAUUCUUUUAUUCUUCUGCAGAGAAUAAAUUGAAUACCAGGCUGUUUAGUGUGUGGGUGUCUUUCAGAUGAGACCUUAAGACCCAAAGGCUCUCUCUGGCCAGCGGGAUGCUGGAGUUCUUGUCUGACCAUCCAUGCCCUGGAUUUCAGAGCCCCGCCAGGACCCAGGUUGCUUGGUGCCUGCUGUUUCUUUCCUUCCGUGAUGUAGUGGCUGCGUUUUACCCUUUAGGGUCCUAGUGCAUAAAUAAAUAAAUAAAUCCAACAACAAAACAUUUCCUCUCUGAGUCUGCAAAUAUAAGUUUGAAUCUGCAUAACUCACCGGAUCUUGUGCCCUGUGAAUGACUGACUCGAAAAAGAAAGGGUUGUGUUUCAUAGCAGCUAUCAACGGAGUCCCUCCAAGCUGUUCCCAAGCCCAGCUGGAACCCCUGGGGCUCUCCAGAAAGGGUGGAUUCUAAUGGGCCCCAUCCUGUUCUUAGUGUUCCUCCCCUUGCCUAGAUGUUGGGUUCGUAAUUGCUGAUACAAUAAUGAUACCUUUAAUCUGACAUGCAAUAUGUCUUUUCAAGAAUGUGUUCGUUCUUGGUGGUCGAGUUCCACAAACAUGUCUGGGACAGGCAGACAACUUAUUAUGGGCUGCCUUCACAGAUGAAGACACAGACAAAGUGAGGUGAAAUGACUUGGCUAAGUCAUCUCAGCCAGUCUCACAUGGGCCCAUGAUGGGAAAAACAUUUCAGGAUUGCAAGGUGGGUGGUUUUCCCACAGCUAUGGGCGUAGGUGAUGAACUCCACACAGCUGCUGUGACAUCACGAUUCUGCUUUGACUUUACAAGGUGGGGCAAGCUGGUCUCAUUGAUCUCAUCUUCUAGGUCAGGAAACAGAAGUCCUGAGAGGCUGAGUUUCAAGAGAAUGCCGAGUGAAAAAAUAAGAAAGAGUUGGUCAUCGGGCUCCAAGUCUCCUGUUCUUGACGGUAAUUUGAUGCCUGAUGCCUGACUCAUUCAAUGGCCUUGGCCAAAACUUCAGAGCCAUCCUUGACACCUUUCUUGCUCUUAGCCCACAUCUGAUCCUUCAGCGGAUAUUACUGAUCCUGCUUUCAAAAUGGAUUCCAAGUGGACCAUGCCCAUCAUCCAAGCUCCACUCUCCAGGUCUGAGGCUUGUUAUCUCUCCCUGGACUGCUGUAAUAUUCCCUUGUAUGGCUAGUGGCCAAAGGAGGCCCAUAAAGGACCCGUCCUCCGGUGUUCAAGCAGUUUUUUCUCACUGAAUUCUAUGGCCCAUGACUAUUACACGACGGAGUACUGAGCUUUCCCACCACCCGUCAAGAAGACUUUGAAUUUCUGGCAGGCUGAAAGUUAUUUGGAUGAAGUCUGGAUACUUUGCUAGAGAUUCUGAGUGAAAAGACCAUGUGACCUUGUGUGUGAUGGCACACACUCUACAAUCCCAGCAGUUGGAAGCUGAGGCAGGAGGAUUGAAAGUUCAAAAAGAGCCUGAGUUACUACAUAUUGACUUCAAAAGAGUUUGGGGACCAGCCUGGACUAUGUGAGACCCUGUUACAACAUAAUCAUCCACAACGCAAGUAGCCACAAGAACAUCAAAUCUGCAUGUUCCAGGCCAGAGGUUAUACGGCACUGAGGAGGAUCCCUGGUGUUUGCUGGCCAGCCAGCUAGCCUACUUGGCAAGAUCCAGGUCAGUGAGAAAUCCUGUCUCAGAAGCAAAAAGAAAACGGUGGACAGCACCUGAGGAACAACAAUCAAGGUUGUCUCUGGCCUACACACACACACACACACACACACACACACACACACACACACACACACACACAUUCACGCAGACAGGCAUGUGCGCAAGCACACACAUACACACACACACACACACACACACACACAGAUAGCACUUCCUAGCACACAUACCCACACCCACAUGCAGGCAGCCCAGCUUGGCCCCCAUCUGUCUCCACCCAUUCUUUUCUCACAAUGCUUUUUAUGGCUUACCACAAUCAUUUCUCACCUGCAUUGAUCCUUCCCAACCCCUUUACACUUACUGCUUCUGCCACACACUCUAACACAUCACGUGACCCACUCUGGUCAGUGUAUCAAGAUCUGGAAUGAGGUAAGCUCAGGGGAAGGGACUGGGUGUGGUUCUCUUUCCCGUGUUCUUUGCAUCAUUGGGCACAGUGCCAGGCAUGCAGUAAGUGUUCAAUAAUUGAUUUAGAAGCACAGGGCCAUCACUGGUCCUUCCUGAGGACAGAGACAGUAUUGUGUAAGUUUUUUUGUGUCCCCACAACAGUCUCCAGGUAUGAACAUGUCUGAAAGCUGACAAUGACCUAUGUUUCUCAGAGCUGGGCUCCAAGAUGUGGUUAGUCAGUGUUAUGAAAGGCAUUGAGACAGGAUGAAUAGUAAAGGUUUUUUGUUUGUUUGUUUUUGUUUUUUCGAGACAAGGUUUCUCUGUGUAGCUUUGGAGCCUGUCCUGGAACUCAAUUUAUAGACCAGGCUGGCCUCGAACUCACAGAGAUCUGCCUGGCUCUCCUCCUGAGUGCUGGGAUUAAAGUUGUAUGUCAUCAGUGCCCAGCGAGUAGUAAAGGUUUUGAGGUGUCUGGGUUGAUAGAAGGCUCAUUUCCCAUGAAUCUCUCUCUCUCUCUCUCUCUCUCUCUCUCUCUCUCUCUCUCUCUCUCUCUCUCUCUCUCUCUCUGCUCUGUGUGUGUGUGUGUGUGUGUGUGUGUGUGUACCAGACAUUGCCUAGUGAUUGAGGUCUGGAACCAGAUGACCUCUUGGCUUCUGCUUUUAAAAGAAGCCACUUGCUUCUUGACUCAGGAGCCCUUUGGAAAUUUGUCACCUCUUGGUGAUCCUAUUGACAAUCCCUGAUUUUUCUGAUGGGUUUGAUCUUGGCUUAUAGUCUUUAAAUAGACAAAAAUUUCAAGGGAACUGAUUUUCAUUGGACUGAAAGUCAAUCAGUUGCAGCAGGAAUAUGAAAUUGGAGCUCUGGGGAGGGAACAAGCUGGAUUUUCAAUGUUCAAAGUCGAGGCAGUGGGGACUGCGCCUCUCUGGGAGUCACCUGAGAUACUGCCUCUGCACCCCUUAUGCGCAAGAUCAGGAAAGCCAGCUGGACCUCCCAGACUGCCUCCGUCCACUCCUUUGUCCUGUCAUAAGGUCCUUUGUUCCUCUACAUGUGCUCUUGGUUCUGGCUUCAUGCCUUUCUGGGCUCUGGGUUGAGGAGCCCCAUAACUGCAGGCCAGCACGCCUUUGUGCCUCCAAGUGUCCCCUGAACUCAGCACAUGUAAAAAUAGAUGUUCAAGAACAGCAAAGGUCCAGCUCCGAAUUCUGACUUGGAGUGAACUCCAUGCUCUUCUGGCGUCAGCGUGCUUAGGUGGCCUUAAGCAUACAGAGCCCGUGGUCAAGGAUGAUUGAGCCCUGCUUUGCUGCUGUUGUUAUGCACAGCCUUGUUUCUCUUACACAAAGCCUGAUUUUUUUUUUCUUUUCUCCCUACCUGCCUUGAUCUCUUUUGAGACAGGAUCUCACGUAUCUCAAGCUAUAUAGCUGAGGAUAACCCUGACACUCCUCUUGCACUCAAGUAUUGGCAUAGUAGGCAUGUGCCACCAUGCUUGGUUUAUGCAUUGCUGGGGAUUGAACCCACAACCUAGUGCAUGUUAGGCAAACACUAGCAACUGAGCCACAUCUCCAGCCCCGAGACCCGCUUUCUUUCUGCCUUCUGUUGUACCAUCUCAGCAGCAUGAGGAAGAAAUCCUUCUCCACCAAGCUUGAUGCCAGUUCCAGGGACAGCAAUGCUUGUUGUCCUGGAGGGGCUCCCUGUGUGUGCAGCCUGCAAGCUUUCAUUAAUUCACCAAGUACUUUCUGCCAGGGAGCCAGACAAGCGCUGUUAUUAUGAUCAUCCAUCACCGACGGGGAAGAAACUGAGGCAGCGUGGGGAGGAGGCUGCGGAGUGAGUGCGUCCAAUGGGGGAGAAGGAGGAGGCUGCAGAGAAGGCAGAGACAGGGGCCUGGCUCCAUCUGCCAGCCCCGAGGACCGGCCCUGAGGACCAGAGGUGAAGCGGUGACAUUGUGGCCGUCCCUGCAGCAGCCGCAUUUCAAACCAGACACCCCACUCCGCCACAGUCCCUUUCCUUUCAAGCCCCUAAACUGAAUACAUUUUGAUUCAAUUUGAAUGUUCUGGAUUAGUGGACGGGAAUGAGGUUUAAAAGAGGUCAGCUCCAUUACUCAGGGUUAUUAAUGAUGUUGUCGGCCUGUUAAAAUCUCAAAAAACUAGGAAAAUAAUAAAUUUUACAUAUUGAAAAAUCACGGAUGGAUCAGGCAAAUGGAUAAAUUCUUAAAAGUAUUUAAUAUCUGUUAAGAGGACAGAAUGAUAAAUUCAAUAUUGAAAACCAAUAUCAGAUUCACAAUUACAGGCCAUUUAUCAUAACCAGCCACACGGACAGCAGCCUAUUGCGGGAGCCCGGCGUGAUUCACAAGCAGAGACCCGGAACAGGUCCACACGAAACGAGAAAUAAAUCUGCUUUACAUAUUGGAAACUUAUUUCUACUUCCUAUCUUUAUUGCCAACAAUAAUGUUAGCUUUCAAGAACAAAUUGUUACACAUUAAACCCAUGCAUAAUGAACCCAAUUGAGUCAAAAACUUCCCUAAAAAGAGCUUUAAAUUAUUCCAAAUUGGGUUAUUAGCUUUAACUCUAAUUCCUCUGAGAGGGCCCGGUCAUCUGAUAGUAAGGUUCAGCUUUUAACCAGACAGUGGAUCUCCCAAGUUCUAGAACCAUCUUGUCUCCUCCCCUCCCACCUCCCCUGAAGAGUUAACCGUGGUGGGUUAAAGGGUAGUCAUGACAGUGCUUAACACAUGUGCUAACGCAUUUGGAGAGCAGGGCUGUGUAUGCUUGCAUGUGUGUGAGAUGCAGAGACAAGGGAUGAGCUUGGGAGUCCCCUCCUGUCACUCCCACAGGCUUUCCCACGGAGCCUGAAGUUUGGUGUUUUGAUUAGGGUGAGUGGCUGGUGAUUUCCUGGGAUACGCUGGUCUCUGCUUUACGAUACUAGGGUUACAGGCACACAUGGUCAUACUGGCUUAAGAGAGACAUUUUCAGCUCUAAGAUUAAUUAGUUGCCUUUAGUCUCAGCACUCGGUAGGCAGAGGCAGGUGGAUCUCUGUGAAUUUGAGGCCAGCCCUGGUGUACAAAGUGAGUUCCAGGACAGCUAGGGCUACACAGUGAGAUGCUGUCUCAAAAUCAAAAACCAAAACCAAAAAAGGUUAGUUAGUGGUCUGCUUUAUUUGGGUCUGUGAGUGAUGGUAACUCAAUGGGAUGGUUUGAACAUGGACCCUUGCUUGUCAUUAGCUGCCAGAGUGCCAGGCUAAUUAACAUGCUGAUCUUCAGGUAUCCUAGGGUCAAGUGGCAGAUGAGUGGCUGAUAUAUAUGUCACUGUCCAGGCUGACCCAGCUGACACAACUGUAGUCAUUUCAAAGGAUAGAUUUAAUUCAUGUACUUUUUUUUUAAAUUAACUCUUUCAAGACAGGGUUUCUCUGUGUAACAGCUCUGGCUAUCCUGGAACUCAUUUUGUAGACCUAGCUGGCCUUGGGAAAACAACAACAGAGAUCCACCUGCCCCUGCCUCCUGAGUGCUGGGAUUAAAGGCGUGCGCCGCCAUUUAUGUAUUUAAUUUUUAAAUUUAUUUAUUUAGUGGUGUGUGUUUGUGUGUGUGAUGUGAUGUACAUGUGUGCCACAGUGCAUGUGUGGAGGUCAGAGGACAACUUAGCCCUUGUUUCUACCGUGUAGAAGAAGGUUCUGGAGAUUGAACUCAGGUCAUCAAGUUUGGUGGCAAACACUUUUGUCCACUGACCUUUCUGGCCUACAAGAUCUUGUAUUUUUGUCAAAAAAAGAGAUAGUCAAAUAUAGAAAAUUUGGAGGGUGUACAAGGAAAACACCAUCUUUAAUCCCCUCGUAACAGACACUAUUGCCAAUUACAUGUUUAUUUAUUUCUUUUUAUUUUAUUUUUGUUGUUGUAUAUUUUUGUCAAAGUUGGGAUUAUAGAAACAGUUUUCUAUACAAUGAUCACCUUUAACUUUUAAAAAAUUUUAAUUUUAUACAUAUAGGAGUAUUGCUUGCAUGGAUGUUUGUGCACCACACGACUACAGUGUCCUCAGAGGCCAGUUAAGAGUGUUGGAUCCCUGAGAACUGGAGUUACAGACAGUUAUGAGAGACUCUGUAGGUGCUGGAAAUUGAACCUAAGUCCGGCGGAAGAGCAGCCAGUGAGCCUUCUUAACCACCGGGCCCUCUCUCCAGCCCUAGAAGGAUCAUCUUAGCUGGCCUCUACCUCCUGAGUGCUAGGAUUACAGGCAUGUGCCACCACGUCUAGUUUAUGUGGCUGGGGAUGAAACCAGGGUUUUGUGCAUGCUAAGCAAGCAUGCUACCAGAUGAGCCACAUCCCAGGCCUGCGAUGGUCAUCUUAAUUGUUACAUUAAAUGUCAUCACUUUAUAAGGAACCUUCUCCUAAUGGGGAUUAUUUUGGUUGCUUUUGACUUUUCUUUGUUCCAAAUCACAUUGCAACCAUCAUCCUCAUACAUGCAUCUCUGAGUAGAUUGCUGAUUUGAUAUUUGUUUUAAAAAAACUCAUAUUGUGUUAAAGAAUGUGAACCAUUUGCUAUUUAAAUCUAUAUUGUCUAAAAAAGGCUGCUGUGAACUCUUUUUAAAAUUUUAUUUUUGAUUAUGUGUAUGCAUGUGGAUUGGUGCAGGUGAGUGUAGGUGCCCAGGGAGGCCAGGAGAGGGCGUUAGAACCUCUGGAGCUGAAAUUACAGGCAGUCGUGAGCCAUCUAACACGGAUGCUCGGAGCUGAACCCAGGUUUUCUGCAAGCACAGUAUGAGGUCUUAACUGCUGAGCCAUCCCUCCAACCCUUGAUAUGAGCUUCUGACUCACGAAGGUGCUCCUUGUUUGUAGAAUGGGCAGCAACAGCAUCAAAGUUAAGUUCAUGGGCUCUGGGGUCAGGCUUGUCUGCACUCAGGUCUGAUGUGGACCCCCCGGGGAGGCUUUAACCAUGCUGUCCCUCCACUGGCUCAUCUGUAAAAUGGGCAUCAUAUCUCCCUCCUAGAGUUGUCGUGAAGAUAAAGUGUGACACCACAUAGGAGAUGCCUACCACCCAGCCUGCCUAACUAAACACUCCAUAAAGGCAGCAAUGGAUCUCCAGCACCCAGGACAGGGCUUGGCACACCCUAGGCACUCCAUCAAUGCUUGCCAAAUGACCAAUGAAUCAGCAAUCAGGCUCCAUGUGACCCAAUCUGCA